GUGCUCGUCCGGCAGCACAUAUACUCAAACUGGAAUGAUUUGGAGAAGAUUAGCAUGGCCCUUGUGCAAGGAUGACACACAAAUUCGUGAAGUGUUCCAUAUUUUG
ensembl:snRNA U6 U6 spliceosomal RNA